rnacentral:tRNA from 1 species
GCGCCUGUAGCUCAUUCGGAUAGAGCAGCGGUCUUCUAAACCGCAGGUAGUUGGUUCGAGUCCAACCAGGCGCG